CCUUCGAUAGCUCAGUUGGUAGAGCGGAGGACUGUAGGUGGAUCUUCUGGUCAUCCUUAGGUCGCUGGUUCGAAUCCGGCUCGAAGGA
rnacentral:tRNA from 1 species